CUUUGUGGUCUUAGAUGAGUCAGAGGUUGUAGAUGAAAUGAUUAUGUUCUCAUUCCUUUGAAAAUUUCACUCCAAAUCUCUUUCCAUCUACUCCAACCCUAAUAUUUAGCUCUAAUGAAUUAAAGCAGCCACAUCGAUUUGGGGAAGAGUUUUAUUGAAUGCAAUGAACAAAGUCAUCACAUUCAUUUUUCUUUCAAUUUCUCGUCAUUCUCUGAAAAUAAGGACAGGUAGAAGUAUCCAUUAGUUGGGACCAUUCUUAGGUGGUGUGUUACAUGUGAAAACAGUACAAUUCUGGACUUAGAGACUUGCAUCCAGCUGUCACAUCAGAACUCUUCCAAUGUACUACUGUUUUUUUUUUCAUCUCUGCUGUCUUUAGUCUCUGCUCCUCAGAUACCUGCGUGACUUUUCUUCAUACUUCAGGCAGAGUACCAGAGUGGUAUACCUUUUUUUUCCUUUGCCUAAUGGAAAGCAGGAUCUUUCUUAAUGACUCUGUUUUUAGUAGAGUAUCCACCAGAAAUUCCACACUUUGUACCAACAACUAACCUAGCUGUAGGAUUUUAUUUGAGGGAGUCUACCAUUCUCCAUUCAUGGCAUAUGACCAUCUGAAUAAAAUCGGGCUAAAAAUAAGAACUGGUUCCUGGAAGCUAAUGCUACCUUGGACAGUUAACAAAAGUCUUGUGAAAUGACUGUGGUGUCAGAACAAACACCAACUAGUAGAUGUCUUCACACUAGAGUGCAUCACCUUGCUGCUAAACUAUAGAGGAGGCUUAUAUCUGAUUAAAACAUUUGACAAAUUUUUAUGCAGUGCAAGUAACAGAUACGAGUGUGAUAAUCCAACUGAAAAUGGUAACCCCGUUUCUGGCACAGCAGUCUUCCUAGGGUGCUGCUUCCUGCAUUAGCCUUCACCUCUAGGCCUUGGGCAGGAAUCCCUCUGUCUCUGAGUCCCAGUGUUUCCUUUACAAAGCCAGCAUAGUGCCCUGUAUGUUCUGAUGGAAACUGAACAAUAGCAUUAGCUCCUGUAGCCACCUCACGGGGCUGUUGUGAGGAACAGAGGUGAUAAUAUAUGGAGCAUAUGUUCACUUUGGAGGUUAACAGAGUUGUAUAAAUCCUGGCUGUAAUUGAGGAAGCCAAGUCAAAUUAACUUCUCAUCUGUAUGGUGGGGCAAGUAGUACCUACUUGGUAGAACUGCCCUGAGAGUUUCCGUUCAACAAAUAUGAACACUUGCUAUAUACAAGUUACUAUUCUGGGUCCUGGGGAUACAACAGAGAACAAAGUCCCUGCCUCCUGGGAUUCAGAAAAGAAAACAGGUAAUUGACUGCAUAAUGUAUUAUCAGGAUUGGAGGCAGGAAGAAGAAUAACAAAGGAUAAAGGGAGAAAGAUAGAGAAAGAGAAUGAGAGUAGCUAUAUUGUAAGGGGUGGUCAAGGAAGGCCUCAUACCUGCAUGAAGUGAAGGGGCAAAACAUGCAGAAAUCUGAAAGAAGAGCAUUUUAGGCAGCAAACCCAGCAAGUGCAAAGGCUCUUUUAUAGACUGAAUUGUGCCCCCUUCCCAAGUACAUGUAUUGAAGCCCUUAACCUUCAACGGUACUGUGUUUGGGGAUAAGCCUUUAGGGAGGAGAUUAAUGUUAAAUAAGGUCAGAAGAGUGGGACUCUAAUCCAAUGGAUUUAUGUCCUUAUAAAAAGGCAGAUCUCUCUCUCUGCCUCUCUGUCUCUCUCUGUCUCUCUCUCUCUCUCUCUCUCGCACAUACACAAAGGAAAGGCCAUAUGAGGAUAUAGUGAGGAAACAAACAUCUAUUUGUUGGGAAAAAAGGUCUCACCAGAAACCAACCCUGAUGGCAUCUUGAUCUUGGACUUCCAGCCUCCGGAACUGUGAGAAAAGAAGAUUAUUUGUUUAAGCUGCUCAGCCUAUGGGAUUGAAUUAUGGCAGCCCAAGCAGACUACUAUGGGUUCUGAGGCUGAAAUGACCUUGACACAGGGAGGCAGCAAAGAAGUGAUGGACGAGAGAGCUGGGAAAUCAGGUAGAGAAGAGUCAGAAUCCAGGACACCUUCUGCAGGAUAAGAAGUCAGGAUUUGAUACCAAAGGUGAUGGAUGUCUUUGGAAGAUAUGCUUUAAGAAGUGAAAUGAUGUGACAUAUUUCUAAAAGAUCAAUCUUGCUGCUAUGUUGAAAAUUGACUCUAGAGUAGAGAUGAGUGGGUCCGGAGGGAUGGUGGGAAGUGGUUGGGAUCAAUUUUGGAGAUGGAGCUGACAGAAUUUGGUGAUGGAUUGGAAGUGAAGUGGGCAGAAGUUGGGAUGACUCACAGGUCAUGGGACUGAGCAGCUGGGUGAAUGAUGGUGUUUUUUGGAGAUUGCUAUUCUUCUCGCGUCUGUAACACCAUUCUCCAGAUCUGGCACAGCUCACUUACCCCUCCUCCAUGUGUUUACUCAGAUGUCACCUUCGCAUCCAGGCUUUCCCUGGCUAGCCUACUUAAAACCACACUGCCUCUUCCAUUUCCCUUCACACUGUACUUUUCUCUAUAGCACUUAUCCCCAUUUAGCAUAUAAUAUAAAUUGCCUACCAGUUUUACUUAUUGUCUUCUAGAAUGGACAGUUUAUGAGAUCAUGUAUUUUUGUCUGUUUUGUUCACUGUUUUUUGGUUCAUUGUGCUUAAAAUACUGUCUGGCACAUAACAGGUGAUCAACAAAUAUUUGUUGCACAUAUGCAUGAAUGAAUGAAUGAAUGAAUGAAUAGGUGAAUCAAUGGGUGAAUCCUGGGGAAUGGAACUCAAAAAUUCUAUCAGGAAGCCUACUAAACAGUCAAGUGGAAACCUCUAGUAGGCUAUUGCCUGUAUGAUUAAAUGAGAUAAGACAUACAAUGGCUAAUAUCUUAUGUACCACUUGGUAAUGAUUAUACUAUAAGUAUUAUCGUUCUAUUUGUGAGCGCACUACAUCUACCUCUUACUACACUUUGGUGGACGUUCUCUAAGACCGUGAUUCUUAGUCCUGUGGUUCUGUGGCUCUGCGGGUAUGUGGUUGGGGUGAAGGCAGUGAGGGAAGUAGCUGCUACCCAACCGCCUCCUUUCAGAGCUGCUCAGUCACCACUGUCACACAAAUGGACACUUAUGCAGAUUUCCUGCUUCCUUCAUAGACUCUCAUUUUUGUGCUGAGUAUUAAUUCCCAUCUGUGUUCAAGAACUGUAAUCAAGCAGGGGCAGUAAUCAGAAUGAUGUGUACAGCAAAAUCAAAGCUUUUUACAUCAAAAUCAAAGCCACACAGUAAAUUAUAGGAACAUGUGUUAGGGUUUAAUCAAUGACUCUGAUCUCUUAUGUGAUUGAUGCGGAGAGCAUCAAAGAUUUGGUUUAUAAGUGGCCAAGAGGAACAUAUUAUGAAUUUGUCUCAUGAAACUUAGUAUGUUAUGACUUAUUUGCUAGGUAGUAAGAUUUUGAUGUGUGUCUUUAGGCACAUGAGGGCCAAAAAAAAUUUUUAAUUAAAAAAAAAGGAGCUCUUGAUGCCUUUAUGCAGUGGCUUACAGAAUGAUCUGCCCUCCAAAAAGUUUUUUACAGGUGUGUUGAUUCACACAUGGGAAAAUAGCUAAUGUGACUGGAGUAAUGGUUUCCUAACUAGACUCACCACAUGAAUUUCCUACCAUCCAUCUAUCUUCCAUCAUGCUGCUAGAGUAACAUUUCAGGAAUCCAAGUUAAAUUCUAUUACUCCUCUAUUUAAAAUUUUCCAUUGUUGCCCAUCACUGGAAGAUAAAUUUAUAGACUUCUAAGUCUGUCAUUUAAUGCUCUUUGUGAUCUUCUUGGCCUCUUUAUUCAAAUUGAUCUCAUGCUUACAAUCCCAAGUAAAUACACGUGUACACCCAUGUGCACGUGUGCGCACAUGCACGCGCGCGCGCGCGCACACACACACACACACACACACACACACACACACCCUGCCCUCCAGCACACUCAUAUGCAUCUACCACGUGCCAUCCUGUGCAUAAUUCUCAGUGCCUUUCCUCUUUGUGAAAUCUUCCUCUCCAUCCUCUAACUGGAUCAAUUUAUAAAGUAUUUUUUUUUAAAUAUAUGCUCAUGGAAAUAAAUGAAGACCACACAAAUGAGAAUAAGUAGAGGCUAUUUAUAGCUUACAAAAGAGUCAGCUACCAUCAUUUACAUUUGGCAGAGACUCAAAGGCAGGCAAAGGAAUAGAAUUUAUAAUAAAAUGAAGGGAAAAUUUCAGGUUUGCUCUGAUUGGAGGUUGUUGACAUGGGGAAACUGGAAUUAAGUUGGAAUGGUUAUCUGAUGUGAUUGAUUUGAAAAGCAUAUUUAGCUUUCUCUGUUGGUUCUGAGUUGGAAGGGGGUGGGGGAAUCAACUUAUGACUAUUUGGGGCUGAUUGCUGCAGAGGUUAUCAUUUUGUUUCCUGGUCUGGUUGCUGGAGAGGUUGUGGUUUGGUUUCUGGCUGGUUAGUGCAGGGGUUGUGGUCAGAGUUCUCUUGUCACAUAUGGUUUGGCCAUGGUCCAUUUCCAUAUUCAGUUUCUCAUGACCAAUCAAUAUUUGUUGAAGGAGUAAAUAAACAUUUCGUCUUAGUAAAUGUUCAUUCCUUCCUCUUCUAUUUAUGAUAAAAUUCUAAUGUCCCAACUUCUUUAUCUUUCAACAAAUUAUAUGUUUCUUUCCCAUUGUAUGGAAAAGGGAGCUUCCACACAGGUCUCAAAGUGCUGACUUCAAGACAAAGCAGAUUUCCUUGCCCAGAGAAAUUUCCCAAGCCUUUACCCUGAACACUGUGCUAUGACACCAUCCUUAGCUGACACAGGAACUUGGGAUCGUGUGUUCCUUCAUCUUCCACAGUCUAUUUCUAUUACAUAUUCAAUUUGGCCUGUUUACCUUAUACAUGCCUGGGAUGAAAAACAUUUGAGGAUUCUUAUGUAAGCUCUUCCUUUACAGGUAAGGAAGCUGACUUUCAAAGCUAACUUUUCCCACUUAAAAAACAGUAAUAAUAACACAUCAUUCACUCCAGAAAGGAGCUCAUGCAGAUGAAUGUACUAAUGAAAUAAUGUGCCAACGUUGUUUGGUAGCUUGACACUCUACCAAAUAUUCUAAUAACAUGGUGUCUACUCUAUGAAAUGUUUAGAUUCUAUUUCAAUAGAAUUAAAAGCCAAUGUAGAAUAAAAUGUGAAUUGCUUGUCAUGAUUUUACACGGACCCAUAAGGCUACAUUGAUCACAUUAGACAGCUUAAAAGCUGGUUGUUGAAGAAUGUGAUUGGUUUGGAAGGAGGAGAUGAUGGUGGUAUUUAUUCAUAUCCAUCUUUGUAGAAAGACAAUGGGCUACAAUAUGAACCAAAAAGCAUUUAUGACAGUUAUGUAGCUAAAUCAUGAAAAUCUGUCUACUCAUCUCCGAGGGAAAGUUUUGGCUAAGCAAGUUAAUUUUGUCUUUAUGCAUAUGCAUAUGCAUAGUGCUUGUAUUGGAUCUGAAUGUGCAUCUGCACAGAAAUAAUCUUUUUUCCUUCAAUCAUAUUGUUUGGAAAGGGAUUAAUAUAGUUCCUAGAGAAUCAAUAUAUAAGUUAAUUAUGUAUGUUGAAUGCUUAAUUACUCUUGUGAUUUUUUUUUAUAACUUGGUGCCUGAGACCCAGACUAGGGGCAGCAAUGUGUUGUUGCUGCCUUCACUGUUGUUACAAUAGCCUCUUGAGUUGUAUGUAUGGACUUUAUUUAGGUAAUGAUGAAGCCUUCACUAGUGUAGGUCUUCAAAUAUUAUUAAAGGAUGAUAAUCAAAUAUAUUUAAUAUAAAAAAGGCACAUGAUGUUGUUUAAACCAACAUUUUUAAUGUGAUGGUUGUGACACUCAUGAACAAAUGUGACCAUGUAAAUUAUCUAGUAGGGUUGUUCCAGCAACCUCACGUGACCUCAGAUCAUUGAAACCAUUGCAUGCCAUGAUCAGUCGUGGAGGCCACAGCAUUCUUCAUUUCCCCACUGUAUUUAAGGUCAUUUCACAAAUUGCCACCUUGCAUGGCACAGCCAUCAAGAUUUCUAGAAAUUAUCUGGGAAUGAUAAAUGAGGGCAUGUUCCCCAGUAGGUUUCCCCAGAACUAGUGGAAGAAAUGUAAUCAAGUUAUUGUGUAAUAUCUUCCCCCAAAAUUAUGAAUGUCAAUAAGUGAGAGCUGAAUGUGUGCUUGUGUUAUGCCAAUUUUGGCAGCAUGUUUAAGCUCUGAAAUGGUUUGUAAACUAGUGUUUUGUAUUCCUGAACUACUUUGUUUGGUCCCUUUGAAUGGAAAAGAUUUAUUUGUGCAGAUCUGAGAACUUGUUGUUCUUCUUUGUUAAUUAGAAAAUGGUAGAAAUGAUUCUACCAAACUUAAGAUUGGAAUUAGGCUGUGACAGAGAUAUUAACCGCAUGAGUUCUGUUUUCUGGUACUUUCAUGAAUCCUUCUUGGUAAUUCAUAGCGUUUUUCUAGACUUCUUGGCUACGGUUACAUAUUGACAUCAUCCAAUAUCAAUCAAAAGGACUCCAGAACUACUUUCCUGGCAUUUGUCUAAGAGCUGGGAAGUCAUCCUCUUAUACAUGGUUUAGAAUAUCAUUUUCAGAUAUAUGAGCAAAGGCUUGCUGAUUCUCAGUGAACCUGCCUCAAGUACACCCCACUCAGAGCUUUGUAAACUCCUCUUAUAGAUUAUACUGCCUGUUUAAGUUUCACUGGAAAUACUCCCUCUUUCCAAACAUUUAUCACAACACAAAGUGAAUGUAUUAUGAGCACUAAUCACUGUUCAGCAUUCUGUGUCCAAAAGAAGUAUAUACUUUAACAUGUAAAGUCCCUCUCUAUGUUAUGCCUGCCAUACAGAUCAUCCAUAUUUGAUGGUGAUUAUCUGCAUUAUUGACCUUAUCUUCAUUAGUGGCUAUAUUGACUUAAAAAUAGUUAUUUUUUUCUGAAUAUAAAAUUCCCUAUAUUCUGCUAAAUGUUCCAUAGUGUUGCCUUCACCCACUCACCAGCCCACGUAUUUUAGUGAUUUUGAGUAUUUUGGGAAAGCUCUUGAAGCUUUUCUCUAUAGCACGCCAUUUAAGAUUUCAGUGUGCAUAUGGAUCACUGGGAGCUCUUGUCAUUGGUUUGAUAUACUAGGUCUAGGUUGGUGGCUGAGUCUUCAUUUCUAACUAGCUCCCCAGAGAUGAAGAUGAUGCUGAAAGCACACAUUGAGUAUCAAGGCUCUAGAACAGUGCUCUCUGAUAGAACUAUCUGCAAUGGUGGAAGUGUUUCUUAUCUGUCCCAUCCAAAGCAUUGGCCACUUACUGCAUGUGGCUAUUGAGCACUUGAAAUGUGGCUAGUAUAAAUGAGGAAUUGAAAUUAAGUGUCAUUGAAUAUUAAUUUAUUUAAGUUUAAAUAGCUUAUUUGACUGUGCCAGAAGAGUUAAUAUAAGGUCUUUAUAGUUUAUUGGCUUUCCCCCAUUUUCAAGAAGCGUGAUUUCAAGGUCGAGGGCUUCUUUGUACUUAUCUCUGGACUUCCAGAAUUUUUCAUAGGGCCAAGAACAUUAUAUAUAUCUAGUAAGUGGCAUUUCUAUUAAGAAAUCUAGUCUACAGGUAUGGGAGAAGAUUCACUGAGCUCUCAUAUAAUAGAAAUAUUUGACUUUAAAACUAUAAGACUUGGUAGGUAGGUAAUUCUGCCUCCACCAAUUACAGGAUAAUUUCUGACAAGUCAUUUACUCUAAGUAUCAAUUUUGUCAUCUCAAAUAGCCAUCAUGAUUAUGGUAAUACCUACCACACAGGGUUGCUGCAUCAUGCACGUAAAAUUUUGCCAAACCAUUUUUUUCAAGUGAUAUCUGCUCUGUGAAUGCUAAUUUUUGUUGUAAUGUUAUUGUGUGUUCUUUCCCUCUGAAAUAUUUAUAUUUGGGGCAGAAAAAUAUAGAAAGAUACCUUAUGUGGACACAAUUGUAGUCUAGUUGAGUGGUUAAAUAAUAACACAAAACCAUGUGCAGUUUUGUAUCUUUCCUCGUAUGGAGAAAACAGUUUUGAUGGUCAAGGAGGAGAACUUUAGCAAGUUUCUGUUAUUUCACUGCAUUGCAUUUUAUUGUAUGUGGAAGUAAACAUAUUUUUUGUUUGGGAUUUUGUAUUAUUUGAUUUAAUUCCUUCAUAAAAAUGUGUCAUAUAUGUUUUGCUGCGUGUGAUUGGAACUGAAUAAUUUGCGCCAUCCUGAAAAUAACCCAUUCUAAUUUGCUAAAUACCUAAUUUUCCCCUUGUUUGCAGUGAUAAGACAAAUAGAAGACACGUUUUCUUUUUGUUUUUCUUGAGCAGAUUUGCUUUGGGGGAGCUUUUUUGCUUUUUUAAAAUAUCUUCUUUACAUAUGUAUGUAUAUUAAUCACAAGCAUUGCCAGCUUCAUGGACUUAAGAAAAAUCAUAAUAGCUAACGUUUAGCAAGUAUGUAUGCAGAGCACUAUUCUAAACAUGUCACUGGUAUAAACUCAGUGGGUUGCCAUGGAAACUAAGUAAAGCUUUAAUCUCUUUUAAUGUUUGCUGAUAUGUUGAGUUCUGAAAAUAUUGAUAGUCCUCUUUUUACUGGUGAUGGCAUGGAGCAGCCAUCCAGUGACCUUUGUACAAUCAUGAUUUAUAAAUGGGUUGAACUGGGAACUUCACCAGAAUGAUUUAAGAAUGAUUGAUUAAGACAAAUCAAGGCAUUUCUGAAAGAAGACAAAUUGAUUUUAUGUUUCUUGGUUAAAGUGUUUAUAGCUUGUAAUACAGUUGCCUGCUUUUAUGUAAUCUUAAACAAACUCCAUAGACUUUAUUAAAUGACUUAAAACAUUUUGUUUAAAACUUGAUAUCGCUGUGAAUUCACCUUCUUGUUUGCAUUCAUCAAUGUUUCUUUAUAGACAUUUUACCUCUUUCUAGAUUACAUUUAAAAGUAAAUCAACCAAUAUGGAUAAAUGUAAAAGCCAACGUGAUAUGUUAACUGUUAACAAUUUCUUGAGACUGAAUCAAAGCUGUGUUAAUUAGGAGUAGUUCCUAGGGCAGGGAAACCGACUAGAGUUUAGACUGAUUCUCUUGUCUCCUCUACAGCACGCUGUCUCACUCACCUGCAUCCACAGUAAGGUUUGGAUGCAAAAUACUUGAUUUUCCUAAUCACCCUGGGCAAUAGACCAUGUGAUCUAAGGCUGGCCAAUAAGCAGAAAACAACAAGGGAGAACCUCCUUUCAUAAGUAAAAGGCAAAGGAAGAGAAGCCUUUCUGUGUUAUUCUAACCUUGAAUAAAUGAGAAUUGGAAGUGUGGUAACCAUCCUGUGAUCAUCGAGACAAAAUCCUCAGGAUGAAAAUAUCAGAGCAUAAAGACAUAAGGAGCCCCAAAUCUUAACAGCCAUAACAGCCCUACAUAUCUGCAGACAUGUUAUGAAGGAAAAAAACAAAAAACAAAACAAAACAAAAACCACCCAUUUGUACUGUUAGUCAGGUUUUCUGUUACUUGAGCCAAACAUCUAUAGCUAAGACUGUCACAAUUGAAGAAGAAACCAGAGAAUUAGGGUCAAUGUAGACAUAUUUUGUAAAAAAAAAAAUGACCAUAUUAAUGUAAAACAUAAUCAAAAAUGUAAAAAAAUAAAAAGGUCCUGGACAGCCUUUGAAAACAUGAUCUCCUUAAAGUAAGAGAGAUGUUUCCAUGAAAUGUAAAGUGAGCCAAAUGGAAGUUCUUACAAUAUCUGAGGAUUAUGCUUUGAAACUUAUCUCAUACCAGAAUCUUCCUAGCAAGCUUAAAUGUGUCCUUGUGCAAAGAUUUCACCCCCUUCUGAGUCAUCAGAUUUAAUCUUUGGGCUAUGUCUCAGAAACAGGGCAAAAAUGUAUUCCCUUUAAUGAACCUGAGUCUGUCCGUCUCCAUAAAUUUCCAUAUUUCAUCGUAACUUUUCCCCUCAAUCCAUGUAACCAGUUGGCCCUGUAAAAGGCACCCAGAGAUUUGAAGGCCAUUAUCUUGAAGCUCUUUAACUUCUCCACUCUCUGAUGAACCAUUGUAAUUCAUCCAUUUAUUUCUUGUGCUCUCUGAUUUCUAGGCACCUCGCAAUCCUGAUGAUUUUUUUCAGAUCAUGCUCAUUUGUCUCCUUAAAGUGAGGUUUCCACAAAUAGAUGCAUUGUUACAACAGCAAUCUGACCUGGCAUAGAGCAGCAUACUAGUGUGUGUGUGUGUGCAUGUGUGUGUGGUAUCUGGUGUGUAUGCACGUGCUUUUCAUUGUGGAUUGAAUAUAUGCUAAAGUGUUUAUAAUGUUUACAAAAGAUACAAAGAAUGACAAAAUGAUUCUGCAUAUAACUACCACCAGCUUGCCCUACUUUAGAAAUCCUCUGUGUACCCCAUCCUGAUCUCUUCCUUUUCUUCCCCACCAAAGUAACCACUCUUCUGAAUUUUGUUCUUAUUCUCCCCCACCCUUCUCUUUAUAAUCAUACCACGUAAUAACAGCUCUAAAAAUAUAGUGUUAAAUUUUACGUGUUUGAGAUUUAGACAAGAAUCGAUGAAUGUAAGUGGAAUAAUGUUAUAUACAUUCUUGUGAAAUUUGAUUAUUCAUUCGAUAACAUUACUUGAAAUUUAUUAAUGUUGGUUUAAUUAGCUACACUCAUUCAUGCUUCGUUGCUCUAUAUGUGUCUCAGUUUUUCCAAGUUUAGUGUUUUUCUUUUUUCCCUGUUGAACUAAUUUGAACUUACAUAUUGUAGUCUUUUUUUCUAAGUCUUGGAUAGCCCCAGAGAUUUUAACAUGGAUGCUUAAUUUUUAUUUAAUCAAAAUCGAUAACACUUCUCUUGAAUAGUAGAAAUAUGAUAAGCAUUUAAGCUUCAGCUAUUAUUGUGCAGUAUUUAAUUAUAUCUUUCUUAACCACACAGAGUAGAUAUUCUUAAUACUUUAAAUUUUUAAAUUCAUUUUUAUUGUUAAUAAUUUAAAUUCAUUCCUUCUGCCUGUAGUGCAUUCUAUAGGAUUUCCUUUAGUGAGGAUCUGUUGUUUAACACUUCCCAUGUUUUCUCUGAGUGAAAAUGGCCUUCUUUUAUAGUGAAAGAUUCACCCGGUUUUAGUUCUGGGUUGACAGUUGGUGCUUCUUGGCACACUAGCAACAGUAUCCUGCAGUUUGGUGCUCCCAGUUGCUGUUGACAAGUCAGCUCUCAGUUCAAUUGUUCUUCCUUUUAAGUUGUUUUCCUCUGGCCGCUUUUGAUAUUUCCACAUUGUCUUUGGUGUUCUGCGGUUUCACUGCAAUGUCUUCAGGUAUGGAUUUCUUUUUCAGUACCCCAUGCAGGAUUUGUUCGACUUCCUAAUCUGGUGACUGAAUUAAGCAGUUCUCAAGCAUUUCCAAAGGCCAAUCCUUCGCUGCCUCUCUCCCAUUUCAUUUGUCUUAGGCAUAGGCCAAGAAGUGAGUUCCCAGUAUCUCUAUGUUUUAGCUGUAAGGACUUUCUGGACUAUUUUCCUAAAGAAUCAUACAGUUUUGCCUUCCUACCAGCAGCAUAUGACAAUUCCAAUUUCUCCAAAUCCCUGUCAACAUUUGUCAUUAUUUGUCUUUUUGUUUAUAGCCAUUACAGUGGGUGUGAAGUGGUAUCUCCUUGUGGCUUGGAUUAGCAUUUACCUAAUCUUAGUGAUGUUAAGCAUCUUUCCAUGUGCUUAUUGGCCAUUUGUAUAUCUCCCCUAGAGAAACGUUUAUUCAGAUCCUUUAUUCAUUUAUUAAACUCAGUUAUUUGUGUUUUUAUAAUUGAGUUGUAAAAAUUGAGUCACAUUUUUGUAGGUUUGUUUUAUUAACCCUUUCCUAUUGGUUAAAGUGAGUAAUUACUGAAAUGGCCACAAUGAGAUAAAAAAGGAAGGCUUGAAGGAAUAGGAAUGAAAUAGUAUGGAAUAUUUACAAAUAUGAUAACCAAGUUUCACUGAGUAUAAUAGGUUAAAGUUUGGUUUACUAGUGUAGGGGAGGAAAAAGUGUUUUUCUACCCUCUUAGGGCUUCCUGCCAGACCUGAAAAUUUGGGUGACAGAGACAGAUUAACAGGAGAAAAACAUACACAUUUAUUUAAUGUAAGUUUUAUAUGACACAAGCCUUCAUAAGAAAAUGAACGCUCAAAGAAACAGUUAAGCCUGAGUAUUUUUAUGCUUAAUUUGUUGAUGAGUGGAUAGUUGGAGAAAUAUAAGAAGUCAAGGAGUACCUGGUAAAUGUAAUAAAUGGGGAAAAUUGGCAAGUCCUGUUUUUUGCAGUUCCUUUGAGCAUCCCUUUGUCUUCAGACAUAAGGAUGUUCCUUUCCUUCAAGUAUAGGGAGGACAUUUCUUCCAUGAGAGUUUUAUGACCUGCUUCAGGGGAGAUGAACAAGGGGAAGGUCAGAAUGACCUUUCUGUUUCUUGUUUUCUCAAACUCCUUCAGUUGAAUAUGUUCAAUGCCAAGGUGUAAUACUUUAGGGUAGGGUGUCCUGAACCCCAUCAUUAGUUAAGAAGAUAUCAAUCAUAUGCAACCUACGUAUUGGUUUUCAUAUAGCAAUUAAUUCAUAUCUUUUGGGCCAUACUUAAUAUCAACAUUUCCCAAACUGUUCCAUUGAAUAUUAAUAGGUGAUAUACCAAAAGACUUUCUGUAUGACUUAACAAGUCUGGGAAACUUUACACUCAACAAAUGGAAUGCAGUGUCUUAACUAAAGGGCUUCCUUGAGCCCUUAAUAGGUAAAUGAACAUUGUAAGUGUUCCAGAGGGGGGCCAGGCAUGAAUAUGAAACCCUAUUUCUUUCCCCAAUACUCUUGAGAAUCGUGUUCUACAGAGCACACUUGGGAAGCAUUGCUUUAAAAACAUUAAUUUCCCUAAAAGAAAGAGCAUUGCCAUAGAGAGCUCUCUAGUGGCAGUAGGACAGAGAUGGAGGGCUGAUGGAGAAGCAGCAAUUAAUAAGUUGCCUGUUACAUAGUCAGAAAUAACAUUGGAAGGAGCCUGACAUUUUACCAAAUGAAAAUUAAUAUUAAUUAAACAAAAACAGGGAAAAACCUGUGAAGAUUUGAGACAGUUUGUGAUUCCUCUCAGCUAGCUGAUGUGCUUAUUUUUCACUAGAGCCCCUAAUGACCCCCUUCCUUGGUGAAUUGGAUUUUGCUACCUUGCUUUAUUAUGUUAUUUCAAAGAGCUCUAAAUUUAACACAGGCCCCUCUUGAAGGUGCGAGUUUGGAAAGCCUGCAUUUAUAGGCUGUGUUCCAGCUGGUUUCUCCAUCUCUGUUAAAUUAGAACAAGAACUUCUUCAAUGCAGCCAUUUUAAUUCUGGGGAAUCUUCUCAUUUACGUAGUAUUUUGGUAAAUGUGAUGUUUUCUGAUAAAUUUCUAGGGAAUGGAGCUAUUUGUGGAAAUAAGAAUUGAGACUUUAGUUGUUCUUGGCUCUCUUACUGCCCUCUCCAGAACCGCAGAAAAUAGCUUUUGUCAGUUCCCAUUGCUUCAGGUUGAGGAUAGACAUGUUCAUAAUAAAUGCAAAACUGAUCAUUUAAACACUUGUUCCCUAAGGAUAUGAACAAGGUGUUCGUUACAAAAUUUAGCUCUUAUUUUUUGCUUUAUUUUGGUAAAGUAGUUGAACUUUUAUUUCAAGGGAAAAUUAACAGUAGAUAACUUGAUUGUGAAGAUAUUACUAUUUGCAAAUCUUUGUGGAAUUUAUUUGCGGCCAAAUUAAAUCACUACAUAUAACUCAAAAGAACUUUCUUUCUUUGUUAUUUUAUUUCAUUUUACUUAUUUUAUUUAUGUAUUUCAUUAUUCAUUUUAUUUACUUAUUUAUUGUUUUGGACCAUGGCACCAGUGAAUGUGAUUACUUAGUUUGAUUGUUAAAAUGAGUCAGAUGAUGAUGCAUAAGCCUACCCCUGGUAUAACAGUUAAAGUGAUGUGAUAAAACCAGUCAAACUGAUGUAAUAACACUUAGUCUGAACCCCAGAUAUACCUUUACCUCAAAAAUGAUUCUCUCUGGGGCACCUGAGUGGCUCAGUCAGGUAUCCAACUUCAGUUCAGCUCAUGAUCUCUAAGUUUGUGAGUUCAAGCCCCUCAUCAGGCUCUGUGCUGACAGCUCAGAGCCUGGAGCCCGCUUCAGAUUCUAUGUCUCCCUCUCUUUCUGUCCCCUCCCACACAUACUCUCUCUCUCUCUCUCUCUCUCUCUCUCUCUCAAAAUUAAAUAAACAUUUAAAAAAAAUUUAAAAAUGUCUCUCUCUGGAACAUAAAAUUCCCUUUAUCCUUGAGAUCUUAUAGUGAUCACUCAAAUAUUUUGGAUAAUUGAAGAAUGAUGGAUCAAAGUUCUAGAUUAUAAAGACAUGAUGUAAGGGGUGCCUGGGUGGCUCAGUUGAUUGAGCGUCCGACUUCGGGUAGGUCAUGAUCUCACAGUCUGUAAGUUUGAGCCCCCUGUCGGCCUCUGUGCUCACAGUUCAGAGCCUGGAGCCUACUUUGGAUUCUGUGUGUGUGUGUCUCUCUCUCUGCCCCUCCUCCUGCUGGUACUCUGUCUCUCUCUGUCUCAAAAAUAAAUAGAUGUUAAGCAAAUUAUUUUAAUAAAUAAAGAUAUGAUGUAAGAGAGGGUCCAGGAUGAAGCCAUCAUCCUCCCUGGUGCUAGAAGCUGUAAACGGUAAGCUCCCAAAUCUCAGUACCUUAACACUAUCGAGGUUUGUUUUGUUGUUUAUAAAAUGCUCCUUAUGGCGGACUGUUCUUCAAGUCAUGAUUCACAUCCUAGAAUCCUUCCACUUUGUAGGCCCAUCAUCUUAAAAUAAUUCCUUCUAGUUUACCCGACUAGGCUGCAGCAAGCCAACAGGGAAAGAGCGUGGAGGUUCACCAGUGGAAGGUUUUCAUAAAUAUACACUUUAGCUCUUACUCCGCUGGUGAGAAGUCAGUCACAUAACCACAUCUUACCUCUGGGACAUGGAGUCCAACCACACGCCUAAAAAAGGCAACGAGUUUUUUGAAUAUGCAACUAUCUCUGUUACAACUGUCUCCAGAUAGUUGCCUUUUUAUACUUAUGAUGUUGAAAUUAACUUGAGUGAGGGAAUAGAGUUGGUUAUCUCCAAAGGAAACAAAAUGGCAUAUGCACAUUAAUUAUGCAUUUAAAUCCCAGACUAAUAAUUAAUGUAUCCACAUUUUAAGUAAUUUCCUUAAUAACUUCACUUCAAAUUAGUUCAAAGAUAUUUUGGGCAUUCCUGGAAGGGAAAUUUUAUUGAGCCAAAGAUCUGUUCUUCAUUUACAAAACAAAUAAUCUGUUCUUAUUUAUAUCUCCUUACAAUGUGUGACUGAGUAAGCAUCACACAUAGCUAGGAAAUAGAUUUUGACAGCCCAGCCUUGUUAGUUAUCAUUUCAACAGGUACCAUUAGCACAAAGAUCAAGCUGCCUGCCAUAGCUCUAGCAUGCUAAUGGGAAGUAAAUACCAUCCACGCAUCUCAGCUUCCCUUUGAAAUAGAAAAUGACAUCAUGUAAUUGGUUUUGUCUGAACUGCUCAGUGGGUGAAAAUAUGAUUCAGAUGAGUUAAAGGCAUGAUGUCAUUAUUCUCCAAAAAGAGGCUGGACACUCAGCAGCCUGAUUCUUUGAGCCAGCAGCAGUACAUAAACCUGGUGUAGAACUUUAAUCUCAUUUGCACAUGUCGUGACUUUCUUCUCAAAUGGAAACAUGGCGGGUUAUUUUUAAAAACAAGUAAUGAUCUUGUGCUCCAGAGCACCACUGAUGCCUCUAGGAGAACUUGUGAAUUAAAGGUUCUGCUGUGGUCUUGAUUCCCAUCGGUCUCUCCGGGACUGCACUAUAGAUGAGGCAGGGCUAUCAUUACUGCCUUCACUCAUUCUCAAUCCCAAGGGCCAAAGAGGUGGUCUUUAGUUGACCACUUAGAGAUGGUCUUUUAGUUAUUUAUUUUUUAAAUACUGAGUACCUGCUGUGUGCCCGGUGGUGACUUAGGUGCUGGAGUUAUAGCCAUGAAUGAAAUAAAAUUCCUCUUCUCAUAGAUAAUAAGCAAAUAAAGAUAUAAUCUAAUGCCAGGUAGAGUUAAAUGCCAUGUAGAAAGGCAAAGCUGGGUGGAGUGCUAGAGAAGGAUGGGGUAGUGGCAUGUCAUGGAAAAGGUGGUCUGAGAAUGUGACAUUUAAGCAGAGACCUUAGGAAAUGAGAGAGAAGAUCGUGUGGAAAUUUGCAGGAAGAAGAUUACAAUUGGUGGGAACAGCAAGGGCAAAGGCCCUUGGUGAGGAGCAUGCUUGACAAAUUUAUAGACCAGCAAAAGUGACUGAGAGGGAGAGUGUAGGGGAUGGGCAGGGCAUUGUGGGGAUGGAAGGAACCAUACUUGCACAGCACUGCUGUUGGCCAUCUUAUGGGACUGCCCAUAGAACCAUCAAGCCUCCCUAUUCGAAGCUUCUCUUUCAUGUGGAGCACCAGACAAAUGAUGCUUCAUAGUCACUGGGCUCCGCAUUUGGGCUGGGGACUGAAACUUGCCAUUUCUGGGCCUUUGGCGAUCAGUGAAGGUUGGGAGGUCCCAGGUUCAGGCAACGAGGAGGUGGCUUGUCCAGAAAAAACUUGAAGCACCAUCUAUAAGUGUGACCAGGGGCACCUGGGUGGCUCAGUCAGUUGGGUGUCGGACUUCGGCUCAGGUCAUGAUCUCACAGUUCGUGAGUUUGAGCCCUGCAUCGGGCUUUUUGCUGACAGCUCAGAGCCUGGAGCCUGCUUCGGAUUCUGUGUCUCCAUCUCUCUCUGCUCCCCUGCUUGUACUCUGUCUUGCAAAAAUAAUAAAUAAACAUUAAAAAUUAAAAAAAAAUAAGUAUGGCCAAAAUUGCUCUACUUUUUAUCAUAUACGAUAAUAUUAUUAUCAUAAUACUUAAAUAAUUCCAGUGAUAAAAUACUAUUCUCCCCAGGGCCAGACCACCUUCAUCUCCCCUUGGUACACCACUGCUUUGGUGCACACACGUAGUGAGUAAAACAAAUGCCUAUAGAUAUCUAGUAACUAUAUAUAGUUAAUUAAAAAGACUAUAUAUAUAUAGUCUAUAUAGAAGAUUAUAUAUAUAUAUAUAUAUGCACAUAUAUAUAUCACUCUACAGUAUAUACAGAAGAGUAUACGUAUGAUACACAUAUAUACACACAUAUACAUACAUUAUAUAUUCUUCAGUAUAUUUAACAAGGAUAAAUCAUUAAGUAUAUGCAUUUUAAAUGGGAUGAUAUACUUGGAAUCAAAAGAUCCUACAUGGAAAAUGUUAAAUCAUUAAGACAGAGGCACAAAUAUUUAUGCAGUAGCUAUAAUGUGCCAAAUAGGGCUUUUUCCAUGCAUUUUGUUCAUUUGUUCAAAAACCAUGUUGUGGGACUUACCUGUGCUAGUGAAGAUAUAAAGAAGAGCAAGAGAGAUGUACUUGCAACAAACCACACAGUGUGGUAUGACUGUUCCAGUCUUACAAGCAAGAAAGCUGAGUCAUGGAGGAGCUCAAUUGAGUUCAAUCCACACAGCUGGGAAUAAAGAUCUGGAACAGAAAUGCAGCUUCUUCUCAAUCUUGUCUCUUGUUUGAAAAAACAAAAACAAAGUCCAGAUACUUGCACAGUUUCUAAUUUUCUGAGAAUACUGGCAUACAUAAAGUAUUUCCAUCCAUAUGGAAUGAUAUAGGUAGGUGUACAGCAUCUAAGAAAAUAUAAUUAACAUCUUAUUCAACAGCAAAGUUUGCUUGCAGUAUAUACAAAAUUAAGAGGAUAAUUGAAUGUAAGGUAGAAUCUGGUAACACAAAAUUAAGUAGCACUGGGAUGACUGGUAGAGUAUAUAUGGUUUUUUUCUUUAAGAAUAAGUCUCCCACCUGUGGUACACUAUGUGAAUAAUUCCAUGACUUAGCAUCAUGCAUAUGGCUACUUCUCCAUACUUCUCAAGGGACAAUGUCAUUUACCACGGCUUCUCAAAUGUUAAGAUGCAUACGAAUCUCUUGGGGGUCUUAAUAAACUACAGGUUCUGAUUCAAAGGUCUGAGGUGGGGCCUAAGAUUCUGCAUUUCUAACAAGAUCCCAGGGGAUACAUAUGGUGCUGGUCUGUGGGCACACUUCGACUUUAAGGCAGUUACAGUCAUUUCUGACACGGGUCAAAAGCUGUAUCUUGGGCCUCAUCCCUAUUAUUGGUUACUUUUGUAACAAGAGUGUUUGCUGAGCAGACAUUCCUAGUGGAGCAGCUUAUAGGAUUUAAGGAAGGUAUAAAGUCAUGGUAGAAGGGACAAAAGGGAAGAAAUAAACAUGUUAUAAUGAAUUCUGCACCUCUUUCCUAAAGAAACCACAAGCAAAUCAUUUACUCCUUGUUUAGAAGGGUCAACCUGAUUCAGGUCUUCAACCUGAAGACCCAGGCCCUCAUACAGCAAAGCCAUUGACCACCUUGAAAAAUUACUAUUUUGCUCUUUGGUGUAACCUCAGUUUUAUCUUGCUGAAACAAAACAAAAAGAAUCCAAUAGUGCAUUCCUUUGUAUUAUUUAUUCUGGCUGGAUACUAAUGUUAAUUUUCUUAAAUGCUUUGGCCACUAUAUUAAAAUUGUCCAUUUCAUCAAAUGGCUUAGUGUGAAUCUUUUGAAGAUGUACAAGAGAAUUUCUUCAUUAGAGCAUUGCUUCUGAAGUUUUAAUGAGCACACAAAUCACCUUAGAAUCUUAUUAAAAAUAUAAAUUUUGAUUCAGUGGAACUGGGGUGUGGACUGAAAAUUGGCAUUUCUUAAAAGCUCCUAGGUAAGUCUGAUAUAACAGAUCCUUGGGGGACUCUGAGUACAGAGGCCUUGGACCAUUUGAUCCUACUUUGCAUUAAGAAGGUAUUCUGUGUGUGAGUGUGUGUGUGUGUGUGUGUGUGUGUGUGUGUGUGUGAUAUUCAAGUAGUGAGGAAAUUAUAUAUUAACAAAUAGCUGAAAUGAUGAAAACCAGGCAUCUGCCUCAACACAUAGGCUAGUGAUCAAAGAUUCCACAAUCACAUUUCCUUACCAUUAAGGACUUCUCAACACUAGAUGUAUAAAAAAGGAUUUUUGUCAGUAAGAUGAUGAUCCCUUUCAGUUUUUCUGAAAUCAGGCUGUUUUCUAGAUCACUCAGCAGAAUGUAAGAGCAGAAAGGGUCAGGGCCCACCCAAGACCAACUAAAUCCCAGCCUCUGGGCAUGGAUCUAAUGAGCAAUCUCUAGACCACCAGCAUCAGCAGCACCUGCUGGUCUAGAGAUUAGAUGUCUAAGCUUAUUAGACAUCUCAUGUCCCAUCCAGAUCUACUGAAUCUAAGUCUACAGUUUAUAAAGAUCCCCAAGCAUUCCAAUGCACAUUCAAAUUUCAAAAGACACUGUUAAGUAGGAGGCAAACCUAGAUAGUUGCCAUAGCAACUUAAUUGUAUUAAACACCUCUCUUCCACUCUAGUAGUUUGGGCCUUUGACUGGUAUUAGAACCAAAAGAAGACAGACAUAUCAAGCCCAUGCAAAGCCUGGUAUGUUGACUGGCUCUAAUGUAUCUGGGAAGGUGUAAAAUAACAGGGAGAAGACACAGGAAAAAAAUCCAGUUCUAGGUCCCUAGUGCUUCAUACCAGCAGUUUCUUUGGUUCCUCUUUAUUAUGCCUUGCCUUUUUUCCAGAAACUUUUACCACUUGCUUCCAGCUUUAAGUCUACUGAGUAGACAUUUACCUGAAGGAACUGAAUCAAGAAUUCCAGUCUGGACUUGCUGGACCAUAGUGACAGUAGUGCUUACUUUGCAGUGAUGCAUUCCUAUCACUGCUCUAAAACUCAAGGGAAGGGGCAAGCAAUCAAGCAUUUAUGGACGAUUCCUUUGUGCCUAGCAUUAUGCUAAAGGUAAUGGUGACACAUAUAAAGGGUUAGUUGCUAGAAACUUGUGGAAGGUGCAUGCAUUUACUUUACAAAUAAUACACAAAUACAUUAUCAAGUUCUGAAGUAGUGAAAAAGCAUAAAGUAAAGGCUUAACAGUGGGGCAUAGAUAGUCUGAGCAAAUAAUAAUAACAAUAAUAAUAAUAAUAACAAUAAUAAUAAUAAUUAGAGAUGGAAGAUGUCAGUUUGAGGCUUCAGAGAGCCAAUGGAACUUGAGUUGAGCAGAUGUAAGAUAUGAGACAUUCUGUUGAGAGGCCACAGGUUGAACAAAGGCAAAAAAAAAUAAAUAAAUGGCACAAAGAUGACAAUGAACAAAUAAUAUGAGAUCUUGCUCUUAAACAUGUAAUGCUAUUUUAUAGCUUACAUUUUUAAUUUUGGCCAUAGAAUUUUACAUAUGUUGGGAAAAUUGUAGCAGUUUUUCAAAUUCUUAUUAAGGAAGGUAGUUCUGAAAAUAAAUGUAUCUUAAAUAGUUGUAAUUUUCAUUAUUGUUUCUUCAAGGGUAUGGAUUAUGGUGUUUCCUGGUAAUUUUGCUGAGUUCAAAAUGUGAAGCAUAAAGGUUUUAUGAAAUAUUAAUUCUGGAAAAAAAUGUCUUCCUGCUAGCAAUGAUCCAAAAAUUGUAAAAUGUUAAUUUGAGCAAGUUCUUACCAUAAAUUAAAAAUGCUCAAAUUUGCUUGGAUGUUAUGUACUGAUGUUUCAUGAACUUCAUCUUAUUACACUUGUAAAAUCUUCACUAUAAAACUAUAGAGCUAAUUUUGCAGUCUAGCAGUCAUGCCUAAUUCUUUAAAUGUUUUUUGGAAUUUCUGUUGUCAUUAACUCUUCAAUGUGGGAAACAGGAUUUAUAACUUCUAUCUAAACAAGUAUUCUCUAUUUUGGGGUAAUAAUAAUAAUGUGUUAACAAGUGCAUAUAUUCAAACCAGUGUAGAAUGAUAUGUCCAAUAAAUUCACAUAUUUGUUUAAUAUCUUUAGUUUUUAUUAUCAACUCCACUUGCUUAUUUAACUUAUCUACUUUAGGAUGCUAAUUGACAAGAUAUUACAUCAUUAUAGAAUAGAUAUACGUCAUCAAAUUUUACAUUUGUAUAUGAACAUUCUUUAUGAUUUUUAGAAAAUUUAGAUAUUUAGAUUAUAGAUAAAUGUAUUCUCAGUAAUAAGACAGCAGCAAAAUGUAUCAUAGAAGAUACAAUAUUUCUAAAACUCUGAAGAAUUUGUAAAACACUAGCUUACAUGAAGUAAUUUCCAUGUUAUAUAAGUUUAAAUAUUGUAAAAUCUACAGCUAUUAACUGACACUGGAAAGUUCUAGGAGGAAAUGGUUGGGUGCUGUAUCUCGGUUUCCACUAAUAUGAAACAUUAUAGAUAUACAAAUCUUACUAGACUAUAGAUUCUUUUACAACACAGCCAGGUAUUACACACUUUCUUAUCCCUAGCACCUAUAUAGAUAGUGUUAAUGUGUUCACAAUUCUUUUAUUCCCCAUCUCUGCUACGGCUGAAUGUGGGUGGAGUAAACAAUAGUAGACCCAAUAAUAGUACAGGUCCCGCAGAUACCAGUCCAUAGGCACAAAGCACCUUGCCUGCUGUCAUGUCUCAGUUCUGGGGUUUCUGGGGACAAGUGUCCCAUGAGCUGAGCUCUAGCAUAUGAUGGUGGUGGUGAACUAUCUAGAUACUGGUUUCUAGAGGUUUUCUGAGUAGUGGGUUUUCGGAGUAGCCAUGGAUAGAGGAGAAAUUGGGUAGACCAGCAGCCUUCCCUAUCUCUAGAGCCUCUAGGUAGUAAUUCAAGGAAGCUCAGAAAUACAAAGAGGCAACAUUAGGACAUGGCUUAUGAAGCCAGUAGAUUCAAGCACUACCAAAAGAUUCUAUAAGCAUGACUUGGUGCAUGAGUGUGUUGUGAGCCAAGGUCCUGUCCUGUGUCCAAGCUGGGCAGAGGAUAAAAUCAAGAGUGCGAUUAAACCCAUAUCCAGCAGUAGAAAGUGAACAGGAAAACAUCAACACAAGGUUGGUUGACAAGUACUACUUCAAGGAAUGUAAAGGGUAGGAAAUAAACUUGAAGCAUGGGGAAAACGUCAGUCCUGAAACUGCUCAGGGGAACAGUUGUUCCAAAGUAGAGUAACAAGAAAGGGAUAUUUAUCCUUGAAUAGGUGCUCUUGGAUCUGCCUGCAAUUUUUAGGUAGUUUUGGUGUGGACGGAGUAUAGCCUUUGGGUGUGACCUGUGUCCAUUUAUCUUUCAUUUAUAGAUGAUUAUUUGUGUGUUAUUUGUCCUGCACUUAUAAGGUAGGGCAUAAGGAAGCCUAUUUACUACUAGUCCAUGGUUACAUUUAGUUUAACCGAACUAAAUGUUUAAUAAACAUUUCAUAUUUGUUCUUCCUUCACUGUAUGCCUAAUUUAGUACAUUUAGUUAAUUUUCUCAAAACUAAUCAGAAACUAGCUCAUUUAUAUUAGCCCUUAAUUACCAUUUUGGAGAGAACUAUUUUUAUAUACAAGUUGGUUUUUCCCCACUAAAAUGCGUGUGCCUUCUCUAUUCUUCUCUAUCCCUCACCUUGACAAUAACACACUGAGUGUCAUUUAGUAGACACUUAAACAAAUAAAUAAUUUCAAUUGGUUCUUUGAUCCUAAGUUCAUAGAUAAUGAAAGCCACUGAAAGUCGAUGCUUUCUGUGAAUAAUGAUUUUUUUCCUGUGAAUAAUUUUUCUGUGAAUAAUGAUUUUACAGAGUUGGAGUUGGCAUCUACUUAAGUAUUUCUUCCUCUUUGUGAAAGAAGAAAUAUUAAAUAUUGGGAAAACUUGCAGGCUUAGAAUUAAAAAAACACAAUAGUGAUAUGAGUAUUCAUGAACAUCCAUAGCUUAAAAAAGUAUUUUAGUGUGUCACUUAUUCAUAGCUUAAUAAAAUCUGUGUUUCUCUUUUCUUUUUUCUUUUUUUUUUCACUUUAUUUAUUUGAGAGAGAGAGAGAGAGAGAGAGAGAGAGAGAGAGAGAGAGAGAGGGAGGGAAAGAGAGCAUGCAAGUUAGGGAGAGGCACCAAGGUGGGGAGAGAGAGAGAA